rnacentral:rRNA from 1 species
ACGAACGCUGGCGGCGUGCUUAAGACAUGCAAGUCGAGCGAGGGGAUUCUUUCAGCUUGCUGUGAGGGUCUCCUAGCGGCGGACGGGUGAGUAACGCGUGGGCAACCUACCCGCGAAUCGGGGACAACAGUGGGAAACCGCUGCUAAUACCGGAUGAGCUUUGCUUGCUGCAUGGCAGGCAAAGGAAGGCAGCCUCUGCUUAGCAAGCUGCCGUUCGCGGAUGGGCCCGCGUCCCAUUAGCUAGUUGGUGGAGGUAACGGCCCACCAAGGCGACGAUGGGUAGCCG